AAGCACAUGUACUUGGAGCUCAGGAGUAUAAGACUGACUGCACAGUAUGUGCGGAAUUCUUACUGGACCUGCUCCAAACCCUUCUUUAGGUUGCUAUUUUACUAUAUUUUUGACAGCAAAGAACCUGGUAAUCAAAAUGUGUGCCAGCUGUGCAACUUUAAUGAGACCUUGGACAGAGCGGCAAUGUGGGAUAAAGGAAGUCAGGAUGGACACUGGUGAGACUGGUGAUAGAAGAUGCUACAUAAAACAGCAAUAGGAUGACACACAAGGCAUCAUUAUACACCAGAGGGCCUGGGUUCAGCCACCAGAACCUACAUGGAACAGCUGUAACCCCCCUGCAACUCCAAGAAC